ACUAGCAGUAAGAGUUUGAUCAUGGCUCAGAACGAACGCUGGCGGCAUGCCUAACACAUGCAAGUCGAACGAGACCUUCGGGUCUAGUGGCGCACGGGUGCGUAACGCGUGGGAACCUGCCCUUAGGUUCGGAAUAACUUCCCGAAAGGGAUGCUAAUACCGGAUAAUGUCUUCGGACCAAAGAUUUAUCGCCUUUGGAUGGGCCCGCGUUGGAUUAGCUAGUUGGUGGGGUAAAGGCCUACCAAGGCGACGAUCCAUAGCUGGUCUGAGAGGAUGAUCAGCCACACUGGGACUGAGACACGGCCCAGACUCCUACGGGAGGCAGCAGUGGGGAAUAUUGGACAAUGGGCGAAAGCCUGAUCCAGCAAUGCCGCGUGAGUGAUGAAGGCCUUAGGGUUGUAAAGCUCUUUUACCCGGGAUGAUAAUGACAGUACCGGGAGAAUAAGCUCCGGCUAACUCCGUGCCAGCAGCCGCGGUAAUAC
rnacentral:rRNA from 1 species